UACGGGGGGGGUAAGCGUUGUUCGGAAUUACUGGGCGUAAAGGGCUCUUAGGCGGCCAACUAAGUCAGACGUGAAAUCCCUCAGCUUAACUGGGGAACUGCGUCUGAUACUGGAUGGCUUGGAUUUGGGAGAGGGAUGCGGAAUUCCAGGUGUAGCGGUGAAAUGCGUAGAUAUCUGGAGGAACACCGGUGGCGAAGGCGGCAUCCUGGACCGACACUGACGCUGAGGAGCGAAAGCCAGGGGAGCAAACGGG
rnacentral:rRNA from 1 species